UACGUAGGGGGCUAGCGUUGUCCGGAAUCAUUGGGCGUAAAGCGCGUGUAGGCGGCUUUGCAAGUCGGGUGUGAAAGCCCUCAGCUCAACUGAGGAAGUGCGCCCGAAACUGCAGAGCUUGAGUACCGGAGAGGAUGGCGGAAUUCCCCAAGUAGAGGUGAAAUUCGUAGAUAUGGGGAGGAACACCGGUGGCGAAGGCGGCCAUCUGGACGGAUACUGACGCUGAGACGCGAAAGCGUGGGUAGCAAACAGG
rnacentral:rRNA from 1 species